UAAGCGCUCUGCGUCGCUGACAAAUCACAAACUUACAAGUUAACAUAGAUUGAGUGUUGAAGACUAUUACAAAAUGCGAUUCUCAUAUAUAAUAUUAGCUUUUGCCAUGAUCUUUGUUAUGGCGAUUAUGUAUACCGGAACAGAAGCAAGAGCAGAACCAUUAGCCGACGCUUUGCCAGAUAAGAAGCCACCAGUUACCCCCAAGCCACCAGUUACCCCCAGGCCAAAAUUAAGGCCUGUUCCGUUUCAUGGAAAGAAGUAGCUGCAUCUUUUGUGAAAUAAAAUACAAGUGAACAGCUGUUAAACCUGAAGAAAGAUUAUGAUAGAAAUGACGAAUUACAAGGGAUAUAUAUUAUAAAUAUCAUAUAUAUGUAUAUCAUUUUAAGCGAAAGUAUAAAUUAUAUUUAUAUGACUCUAUUGUACUUGCUUGUUUCAAAAUUAUGGAGAAAAAAUAAAUAAUAGGAUUGCAUCAUU